UGGGACUAGCUAACAGUCGUGGGUCGUGGGUAGAAUGUCGUGGGUCGUGGGUAAAAAGGCGUGGGUCGUGGGUAAAAAGGCGUGGGUCGUGGGUAAAAAGGCGUGGGUCGUGGGUAAAAAGGCGUGGGUCGUGGGUAAAAAGGCGUGGGUCGUGGGUAAAAAGGCGUGGGUCGUGGGUAAAAAGGCGUGGGUCGUGGGUAAAAAGGCGUGGGUCGUGGGUUAAAAGGCGUGGGUAAAAAGGCGUGGGUC